GACGAACGCUGGCGGCGUGCCUAAUACAUGCAAGUAGAACGCUGAAGGAGGAGCUUGCUCUUCUGGAUGAGUUGCGAACGGGUGAGUAACGCGUAGGUAACCUGCCUGGUAGCGGGGGAUAACUAUUGGAAACGAUAGCUAAUACCGCAUAAGAGUAGAUGUUGCAUGACAUUUACUUAAAAGGUGCAAUUGCGUCACUACCAGAUGGACCUGCGUUGUAUUAGCUAGUUGGUGGGGUAACGGCUUACCAAGGCGACGAUACAUAGCCGACCUGAGAGGGUGAUCGGCCACACUGGGACUGAGACACGGCCCAGACUCCUACGGGAGGCAGCAGUAGGGAAUCUUCGGCAAUGGACGGAAGUCUGACCGAGCAACGCCGCGUGAGUGAAGAAGGGUUUCGGAUCGUAAAGCUCUGUUGUAAGAGAAGAACGAGUGUGAGAGUGGAAAGUUCACACUGUGACGGUAUCUUACCAGAAAGGGACGGCUAACUACGUG
rnacentral:rRNA from 1 species